CUAGAGCACGUGACUCGGCAGGGCGGGAACUACAUUUCCCAGGAUACAUAGCGCAUAGUUUCAGAAACUGCUUCCAUCCGAGCUCUGGACUGGCGGGAGCCGACUCCGACCCCCCAAUUGACCUGAGAAGCCCAUAGGGCCAGGCCUCAGCCCUGGGAUUUCAUCGCAGCUCUUAAUAUCCCUCGAGUGGGUCUGAGUUUCCCCCGAGUGCCAGAGCCCGGGGCCCUUCCCCACCCCCUUGCGGGUUUUCUAGGUCUUGGAGACCCCAAAAUCCAGCCCCUCCCGUUUGAAAGGUGAGGAAUCAGGUCCGGAGCGGCUCCUAAGGCCCUCCCCCCGGGGCAAGGCGCAGGGUCAGGAUUUGAACCCAAUGCCUCUGGCCCCGCGCUGUCCCGGACGAAUGAAGCCUCCGGCAGCCCCUGGCUUCGCCUCUUGCCCGGGGUACUGUCCCGGGUGCGGAGCCCAGGUUUGGUGUCCGAGGCCAGGCAUGAGGACGCUGACCUCUGCUCAGAGAUCGGCUGUUUCGGUUCCCAGGGCGAGAUGAAGGCCACGCUGCCCACGGCGGUGGAGGAGAUCCUGAGCGAGAUCGCGGCCACGCACGGGGCCACGGCUCAAGUCCCCGACGAGCUCCUGUUGGCGCUGAAAUUUCUAUUUGGCCCAUCCGCUGUCCAGGCCUUGGAUCUUGUCGAUCGACAUUCCGUCACCCGCGUUUCCUCUCCCAGUGGAAGAACCAUCUACCAGGUGCUCGGGAGCUCCGGGAAGGUGUACACGUGUUUUGCCUCUUGCCAUUACUGCUCGUGCCCAGCCUUCGAGUUUUCUGUGCUUCGGAAGAGUGACAGCCUCUUGUGCAAGCAUCUCCUGGCCGUCUACCUCAGCCUGGCCCUGGGGGUGUGCCAGGACCUGAGCGUUUCUAACAAGCAGCUGUCUGGCCUCUUGUUGGCAGAGGAGGAUCAAGAACAGGCCUAAUGGGCACCCCCAAAGCCUCUGCGAAUCACCCAGCCAGGGAGUGUUCUCCACUUCUCUUUGCCGGCCGCAGAGACGCUGGACUGAAGGACCAAACACACAGAGCAGAAAGCAAUGACCUUCCCCAGACCCCCGAGGGUGCCAAGUACCCAAGCCCAUAGAAGAAUGGAAAGGAAGAGGAGCAUAUAUGUGAAUAAUGCAUAAGCUUGCAUGCAUACGUGUGUGUAUACACACACACACACACACACACCCCAUUAUCUCUCCCCAAAGGUUGUCGUGCUGGGAGACUCUGACCCCUGAGUUCCCACCAAGCUCUCCCCCUGGUUCCAAUACUAAAAAGUCAGAUCCAGGAAGCAAUCACUCCCCAAUCCCCUCACCUGUGUACUCAGUCCUCUUUCUUUACUCAAAGCAGCUCAUUAACUUGAGGAAUCAGUACAGAAAUAAUGGGGGGGGGGGAGAAGGGGGAAUGAGCCUCUCUGCUUACAUCAUGAGAAAGAAGGAAGAGUCAGGUGUCUGCAAUGAGCAGUGGCCCCUCCCUGGGAGCCCCUACUCUGCUCUCUCAAGCCCUGCCUCCCACAUCUCAUCUAAAGUAAUCAAGCCACUGUCUUUCUCCCAGGGUGGGCUCAGAAUCCCACUAGGAAGAGAUUAACCACCCCCCCCACUGUCCCCAAAAGCUAUGACUCUGAGUCUGCAAGGCUCAUGUGGCUUGAGCACAGCGAGCCCCUACAUCAGGAGACAGAGGGAAUCUGAAUACAAGAGCAUGAAGGGACCAACCACAGUUGUAGACAGCUGAUGCUGAAGCACCCUAUCCACCUCUUGCCAGAAAGUAAAGGACUUGGGGUGCAGAAUGAGGCAGACAUUUUUUGGAUAUGGUCAAUGCAGGAAUUUGUUUUGCUUUGACUAUGUAUGUUUGUUAAGAGGAUUAUUUUUCCUGUAGUAGUGAGUGAGUGGGAGAAAUAGAA